CUACGGGGUGCUGCAGUGGGGAAUAUUGCACAAUGGGCGCAAGCCUGAUGCAGCCAUGCCGCGUGUAUGAAGAAGGCCUUCGGGUUGUAAAGUACUUUCAGCGGGGAGGAAGGGAGUAAAGUUAAUACCUUUGCUCAUUGACGUUACCCGCAGAAGAGGCACCGGCGAACUCCGUGCCAGCAGCCGCGGUAAUACGGAGGGUGCAAGCGUUAAUCGGAAUUACUAGGCGUAAAGCGCACGCAGGCGGUUUGUUAAGUCAGAUGUGAAAUCCCCGGGCUCAACCUGGGAACUGCAUCUGAUACUGGCAAGCUUGAGUCUCGUAGAGGGGGGUAGAAUUCCAGGUGUAGCGGUGAAAUGCGUAGAGAUCUGGAGGAAUACCGGUGGCGAAGGCGGCCCCCUGGACGAAGACUGACGCUCAGGUGCGAAAGCGUGGGGAGCAAACAGGAUUAGAUACCCCUGUAGUC
rnacentral:rRNA from 1 species